rnacentral:lncRNA from 1 species
UGUGCCCUCUUAUUCUUUAUGCGAAAAAUUUUUUUACAUGAUGUUUUCUCAUACCCAAAAACCUUUUUCAUAUCCUCACCUAAUUCUUUUCGAAUUAAAAAUUGAUUGGUUUAAAUUUGAGUUCAAAUGGAUUUGAAUUUGAAUGAAAAUCUAGAGUCUAAAUUCAAUUGGACUCUUCUCUUCAUGCCACCACCUUUCUCCA